rnacentral:rRNA from 1 species
CGCAUCUGUGCAUGCAGCAUAUCAAUAAGCGGAGGAAAAGAAACUAACAAGGAUUCCCCUAGUAACGGCGAGUGAAGCGGGAAGAGCUCAAAUUUGAAAUCUUAAAGGGUUUCCCCUUACGAAUUGUAGUUUAAAGAAGUGUUUUCUGUUGAGGUUUUGGUAAAAGUUCUUUGGAAUAGGACAUCAUAGAGGGUGAGAAUCCCGUAUUUGACCUUUACUUUCAACUUUGUGAUACACUUUCAAAGAGUCGGAUUGUUUGGGAAUGCAGUCCAAAAUAGGGUGGUAAAUUUCAUCUAAAGCUAAAUAUUGGCGAGAGACCGAUAGCGAACAAGUACCGUGAGGGAAAGAUGAAAAGAACUUUGAAAAGAGAGUUAAACAGUACGUGAAAUUGUCAAAAGGGAAGCGUUUGACACCAGUGUUGUUUUUUCUGAAAAUCAAUUAAAGAACUGUUUAUGCUAAGCUGUUUAGACUUUAUCAGCUAAUCUGUUUAGUUUUAGAGCUUUUCUUUAAUGCACUUUUCAGUUAACAAGUCAACAUCAAUUUCUUUUGCUGUAAAAAAGCUUGAGGAAGGUGGCUUGAGAUUCGUCUUAAGUGUUUAUAGCCUCUUGCCUAUGCAGUCGGAGAGAUUGAGGUCUGCAGCGUAGAUCCUUCGGGGCUAAAUGCAUUUGUGCUAAGUUAUAACAUUUUAUAGACAACUUGUUGACUAUGAUUUGUCUUGUAGCUUACUCGCUUAUGUUAUUUUACCUACGCUUAGGAUGUUGAACGCGCACAGAGUCUC